rnacentral:misc_RNA from 1 species
UUGAAUUUACUUGUAGGCGCUGUGCUGGCCAGCAAUGGCACUGUGCACGCGUUUUGCAUUUAAACAUUAUCUUCUUGUGAACCUUAUGUAGUCAGUUGCGGAGGGCCCUUCAUGGCCCUUGAGGAAGCUGGUUAGUGAAAGCGAGUCAAAUCGCUAGUAACGCUAGUGGAACCAACUGACUAUGAUCUAUAUAUCUUUUUUUUUAAAACCCUAGAAUGUUUUUUCUUUUACUUGACUGUAACAAGUCAGUGAAAAUCUAUA